GCAGAACAUUCUGGAAAGUAUAACCAUAGAGGGUGAUAGUCCCGUAUGCGAAAAACAAACCUUAGCUAGCAGUAUCCUGAGUAGGGCGGGACACGAGGAAUCCUGUCUGAAUCCGGGUCGACCACGAUCCAACCCUAAAUACUAAUACCAGAUCGAUAGUGCACAAGUACCGUGAGGGAAAGGUGAAAAGAACUGAGGUGAUCAGAGUGAAAUAGAACCUGAAACCAUUUGCUUACAAUCAUUCAGAGCCCUAUGUAGCAAUACAGGGUGAUGGACUGCCUUUUGCAUAAUGAGCCUGCGAGUUGUGGUGUCUGGCAAGGUUAAGCAAACGCGAAGCCGUAGCGAAAGCGAGUCUGAAUAGGGCGCUUAGUCAGAUGCUGCAGACCCGAAACGAAGUGAUCUAUCCAUGAGCAAGUUGAAGCUAGUGUAAGAACUAGUGGAGGACUGAACCCAUAGGCGUUGAAAAGCCCCGGGAUGACUUGUGGAUAGGGGUGAAAGGCCAAUCAAACUUCGUGAUAGCUGGUUCUCUCCGAAAUAUAUUUAGGUAUAGCGUUGUGUCGUAAUAUAAGGGGGUAGAGCACUGAAUGGGCUAGGGCAUACACCAAUGUACCAAACCCUAUCAAACUCCGAAUACCUUAUAUGUAAUCACAGCAGUCAGGCGGCGAGUGAUAAAAUCCGUCGUCAAGAGGGAAACAACCCAGACUACCAGCUAAGGUCCCUAAAUCUUACUUAAGUGGAAAACGAUGUGAAGUUACUUAAACAACCAGGAGGUUGGCUUAGAAGCAGCCAUCCUUUAAAGAAAGCGUAAUAGCUCACUGGUCUAGUGAUUUUGCGCGGAAAAUAUAACGGGGCUAAAGUAAGUACCGAAGCUGUAGACUUAGUUUACUAAGUGGUAGGAGAGCGUUCUAUUUGCGUCGAAGGUAUACCGGUAAGGAGUGCUGGAGCGAAUAGAAGUGAGCAUGCAGGCAUGAGUAGCGAUAAUUAAUGUGAGAAUCAUUAACGCCGUAAACCCAAGGUUUCCUACGCGAUGCUCGUCAUCGUAGGGUUAGUCGGGUCCUAAGUCGAGUCCGAAAGGGGUAGACGAUGGCAAAUUGGUUAAUAUUCCAAUACCAACAUUAGUGUGCGAUGGAAGGACGCUUAGGGCUAAGGGGGCUAGCGGAUGGAAGUGCUAGU
rnacentral:rRNA from 1 species